UUUAUAAUUUACGGCGGCAAGGUCUUAGGAUAAGAAAAGCAGCAUGCUCUGUGGAAGAGGCCCAAGAUGAGAUAUGAAAGUCAUAGUUCAGGAAAGCCCAGGAGUAAUGAAUGAGAGACGCUGACCUUCACACGACCAAGAGUCAGGAAAUGUGAAAAGGAGGG